CACGUAGGGCGCAAGCGUUGUCCGGAAUUAUUGGGCGUAAAGAGCUCGUAGGCGGUCUGUUACGUCUGCUGUGAAAACCCGGGGCUUAACCCUGGGCUUGCAGUGGAUACGGGCAGACUAGAGGCAGGUAGGGGAGAAUGGAAUUCCCGGUGUAGCGGUGAAAUGCGCAGAUAUCGGGAGGAACACCGGUGGCGAAGGCGGUUCUCUGGGCCUGACCUGACGCUGAGGAGCUAAAGCGUGGGGAGCGAACAGG
rnacentral:rRNA from 1 species